rnacentral:rRNA from 1 species
ACUCCUACGGGAGGCAGCAGUGGGGAAUAUUGCACAAUGGGCGCAAGCCUGAUGCAGCCAUGCCGCGUGUGUGAAGAAGGCCUUCGGGUUGUAAAGCACUUUCAGUUGUGAGGAAGGUGGUGUCGUUAAUAGCGGCAUCAUUUGACGUUAGCAACAGAAGAAGCACCGGCUAACUCCGUGCCAGCAGCCGCGGUAAUACGGAGGGUGCGAGCGUUAAUCGGAAUUACUGGGCGUAAAGCGCAUGCAGGUGGUUUGUUAAGUCAGAUGUGAAAGCCCGGGGCUCAACCUCGGAACUGCAUUUGAAACUGGCAGACUAGAGUACUGUAGAGGGGGGUAGAAUUUCAGGUGUAAGCGGUGAAAUGCGUAGAGAUCUGAAGGAAUACCGGUAGGCGAAGGCGGCCCCCUGGAACAGAUACUGACACUCAGAUGCGAAAGCGUGGGGAGCAAACAGGAUUAGAUACCCUGGUAGC